rnacentral:tRNA from 1 species
UGCAUCGGCCGGGAAUCGAACCCUGGCCGCCAGCAUUCUACCACUGAACCACCGAUGC